rnacentral:lncRNA from 1 species
AAGAGUAAAGAAUAUUUCUCUGAAAUCUCAUAGUUCCCCUGAGUUACUUAGGUGGUUGACUAAGACCAGGGGUGGGGAAAGGGAGGCAGAAGGAUGUGGGUGGAGACUGGGAGGUAAAGGGAGGAUAGGGAAUAUCAUGAUUUAUUAGCCAUCAAUAGUGAUCAAUAGGCAACCCCAGAAUAUCUCUCUCUGAUAGUAUCUCUCCAUCUCUCAGAAGUAUUUCUAUUUCCAUAACAACUAGGCAUCCUCAGGUUCCCCUAGUACCUCUCUAGUCACAGUCAGAGUAUCCAUUUAUUGUAACUAGAAAGUAGUUCCAUCAGAUUAUCUAUUUUUAAUACAAGGCUUAACAAUUGACUUGAACAGGAGUGAUCAAUGAUUUAAUACUUGGACUACAUAGACAAAGGAAGUGAAGACUGCCACCAAAACAGAAAGUGGAACCUAGGACAAUGGCAUCCAAGGACACAAGAUCUAAGAGGACAAGAGAGAGCACAAGUCAUGCUACUCUUUGCAAAGAAGGGAAAGCAUCUUCAGGAGUUUCCUCCAUCACAAGAGAAGCUAACAAGGAGUCAAAAACCAACCACAAGAUAGAAUGAUGGGACACUUCUACUGAAUACAACUUGAAAAGUAGGCAGAGAAAGUUGAUUUUUACAAGAUAAGGAGGAACCAGAA